AACGUUAUAGCUAGACUGGGUACUCCCUGACGUUAGUUAGUUUUAACAUUAUAGCUAGACUGGGUACUCCCUGACGUUAGUUGGUUUAACGUUAUAGCUAGACUGGGUACUCCCUGACGUUAGUUAGUUUUAACAUUAUAGCUAGACUGGGUACUCCCUGACGUUAGUUAGUUUAACGUUAUAGCUAGACUGGGUACUCCCUGACGUUAGUUAGUUUAACGUUAUAGCUAGACUGGGUACUCCCUGACGUUAGUUAGUUUUAACAUUAUAGCUAGACUGGGUACUCCCUGACGUUAGUUAGUUUAACGUUAUAGUUAGACUGGGUACUCCCUGACGUUAGUUAGUUUAACGUUAUAGUUAGACUGGGUACUCCCAGACGGUAGUUAGGUUAACGUUAUAGUUAGACUGGGUACUCCCUGACGUUAGUUAGUUUAACGUUAUAGUUAGACUGGGUACUCCCAGACGUUAGUUAGGUUAACGUUAUAGUUAGACUGGGUACUCCCUGACGUUAGUUAGUUUAACGUUAUAGUUAGACUGGGUACUCCCAGAUGUUAGUUAGGUUAACGUUAUAGUUAGACUGGGUACUCCCUGACGUUAGUUAGUUUUAACAUUAUAGUUAGACUGGGUACUCCCUGACGUUAGUUAGUUUUAACGUUAUAGUUAGACUGGGUACUCCCUGACGUUAGUUAGUUUUAACAUUAUAGCUAGACUGGGUACUCCCUGACGUUAGUUAGUUUUAACGUUAUAGCUAGACUGGGUACUCCCUGAAGUUAGUUAGUUUAACGUUAUAGCUAGACUGGGUACUCCCAGACGUUAGUUAUUUUAACGUUAUAGUUAGACUGGGUACUCCCUGACGUUAGUUAGUUUUAACGUUAUAGCAAGACUGGGUACUCCCUGACGUUAGUUAGUUUUAACGUUAUAGCAAGACUGGGUACUCCCAGACGUUAGUUAGUUUAACGUUAUAGUUAGACUGGGUACUCCCUGACGUUAGUUAUUUUAACGUUAUAGCUAGACUGGGUACUCCCUGACGUUAGUUAGUUUUAACGUUAUAGUUAGACUGGGUACUCCCUGACGUUAGUUAGUUUUAAC